GCAAAAACUUUUGGAAGAUAAGGGAGUGCUUUUGCUUGGAGAAUUGAGCGGUUAGAGAACUCAGAAGGUGGAGAAUUGUGGGGAACCUGGAAACGUUCCAGAACCAGGAUGAAGCCUGGUCCUGUGCAGUCCUCUCCAACACCCAGAAACUCGGGGCCCUUGGCGGUCCAUCUGCAAAAUUCCGAUCCCAUAUCCAACCAGGAAGUGUGCCCCAAUUUACUCUCAUCCCAUGAGGCAAUGAGUGGAGUCUCACCACGCUGUCUCCAAGUACUCAAACUCAAGAAAUCCUCCAGCUUCAGUGUUCCAAGUAGCUGGAACUACAGACAGACCUUUGUACCUGUCUCAAAAGUCCUUAGGAUGUGUCCUUCAUAUUCUUAGAGAAAAUAUUUGCCUUUCUAAUGCAAGAAGAUAUUUGGGGCCUCAUAUUAUAUAUUCCCAGCUCCAACCAUGGAACCCAUCAUUUCUCUAGAUUGCAAAGGAGACAACCUCUUCUUGGCUCACCCUCUGGGAUCACUCACUCCACUUGCUGUGCUGGGAGAACACUCAGCUAUCUUUUGAAGACCAUGGGUGGAGAAGCCCACAUGAAAAGAGGCCAGUUUGCUAGGCCCAGAUUCCCAGGUAUGAGUGAAAAGAAACAAAAAAAGCAUCACCUUGGAAGCUGAUCUACAGCUUCUAUCAUGAUUUCAGAUAACUGCAGCCCUCAAGGCCCAGGCACUGUAGAACAGAACAAGCCAUUCAUGGUAGGCCCUGUCUCGAUUUUCUCUUCUUUCCUUUUUAAAUAUACAUAAUUAGAAAAAGAUUUAUUUCAUUUUUGAUUAUGUGCAUGUGUGUCUAUCUAUAUAUGGGAAUGUUCUCCCCUGAUGAGCCAUCCCUGGAGUCCCCUUUCCUGAAUUUUGAUUCACAGACAUGUGAGAUAC